AAAAGACAAAAAUCUCAUUUUUGUGUAACAUUUUUUGUUGCUUUAACAUUUUUUAUUGUUUUGUUUUGUUUUGUUUUGUUUAGGAAGGACAAAGUUUUUCUUGACUCUCUUAAGAUCCUUGUCUGGGUCUGAAAAUUGAAUUGACAACAAUUACCUGGAGAAAAGCACACACAUCUAUUUAAAGAUAAGUUUUAUGGGGGCAUGAGCGACUUCUAAAGGAAAUGAAGAUCCAAAGAAACAAUUAGACCUGAGUAUUUUAUGCUAAGUUUGAUGAACAGUGCACAUUUGUGGAGUAAUAAGAGGAAGCAUCUGGAAGAAUUCCUUCUACCUUUGCAGACCCUGCUGUCUCAAUCUGAAGUGUUUAACAGAAGAAACUCAACCGUGUUCACUUUAUAGUCGAAGAGACUGGGGAAGACAAGCCGACCAGGUGCGUAUACUACAGCUUCUCUGGGGGCUUGCUUCAG